rnacentral:rRNA from 1 species
CUACGGGACGCUGCAGUGGGGAAUAUUGCACAAUGGGGGAAACCCUGAUGCAGCAACGCCGCGUGGAGGAUGACGCAUUUCGGUGUGUAAACUCCUUUUAUAUAGGAAGAUAAUGACGGUACUAUAUGAAUAAGCACCGGCUAACUCCGUGCCAGCAGCCGCGGUAAUACGGAGGGUGCAAGCGUUACUCGGAAUCACUGGGCGUAAAGCGCGCGCAGGCGGCCCCUUAAGUUGGAUGUGAAAGCCUACGGCUUAACCGUAGAACUGCAUCCAAAACUGAGGGGCUAGAGUCUGGGAGGGGAAGAUGGAAUUAGUUGUGUAGGGGUAAAAUCCGUAGAGAUAACUAGGAAUACCAAAAGCGAAGGCGAUCUUCUGGAACAGUACUGACGCUGAGGCGCGAAAGCGUGGGGAGCAAACAGGAUUAGAUACCCCCGUAGUC